rnacentral:rRNA from 1 species
AUGGCGGAAAUGCCGAGGGUGGAGAUGGCCGGCGACGGCCGCGUCGAGCACCUCGAGAAGUUCUCCCACUACGUCGCUCGGCAGAUUGGGUUCGAGGACGCGAGCGAGUGCCCCCACCUGUGCAAGGCGGCCAACAACUACCUCCGGCAGACCAACAACUGCAUGGCGGACGUCUACGGCCUCCUGGACGGCGUCCCGGAGGCCGACGCGCUCUACGUCAAGCUCGUCAACGAGCUGGAGAGAUGCAUCCUCGGCUACUUCGCCUUCCACUGGGACCAUUCCACCACCCUCGUCACCCAGGCCUUGACCGUGGACAGCGCCAACAAAAAGAAGCUGAGGAACGUGAUUCUGGAAGCUAACAGGAAGCAACGGUUCGAGCGGAUCACGAAGGACCUCAAGGUGACGCGUGUGUUCUCCACACUGGUGCAUGAGAUGAAGGCCAUCGGCACGGUGACGGGGAUGAAUGGCGAGGAGGAGGCGCACUGCACCGACGUUAUGGCCCCGGUGGCGCACAGCGACCGGUCCCCGGUGCUGCUGCUGAUGGGCGGCGGCAUGGGCGCCGGCAAGAGCACCGUGCUCAAGGAGAUACUUCAAGAGCCGUUUUGGAUAGAGGCGGGGAAGAACGCUUUGGUGGUUGAGGCGGACGCUUUCAAGGAGACAGACGUGAUCUACCGCGCCAUCAGCUCCAUGGGCCACCACAACGACAUGCUUCAGACGGCAGAGCUGGUGCACAAGUCGUCGACGGACGCGGCGUCGUCGCUGCUGGUGACGGCGCUGAACGAGGGGCGCGACGUGAUCCUGGACGGCACGCUCUCCUGGGAGCCCUUCGUGGAGCAGACCAUCGCCAUGGCCCGGGCCGUGCACUCCCAGCGCCACCGCAUGGGCGUGGGCUACAAGGUGGACGAGGACGGCACCAUCACCGAGAACUACUGGGAGCCCGUCCCCAACGACCAGGACUUUGUCGCCGCCAACAGGGACCGGAAACCGUACCGGAUCGAGGUCGUCGGCGUCGUCUGCGACGCCUACCUCGCCGUCGCCAGAGGGAUCAGGAGAGCGAUCAUGACGGGGAGGGCGGUGAGGGUGAACUCGCAGCUCACGUCGCACAAGAGAUUCGCGGCGGCGUUCCAGAAGUACUGCCAGCUUGUGGACGGGGCCAAGCUCUACAGCUCCAACUCCUUGGGCUCUCCACAGCUGAUCGCGUGGAAGGGCGACAUCAACGGCAGCCUGCUGGUGGAGCCGCGCGAGAUCGACUGCCUGGACAAGGUGAGCAACCUCAACGAGGGCGCCACCUCCCUGCACGACCUCUACCCCGGCGGCGCCACCACCUGCGGCUCCCGCUCCAUCUGGGACGACAUGAUCGUCGCGCCGUCCCGCGCCACCGUCCAGCGAGAGAUCCGGGAGGCCAUCCGCUCCGUGGAGCCGACGGCAACGCCGACCGCCUUGUAG